GCUGGAUGUGUAAGCAUAGCGAUAUGUUGAGCUGACCAGUACUAAUAAAUCGAUAGGUUUAAAAGUAA
rnacentral:rRNA from 1 species